rnacentral:rRNA from 1 species
UACGAAGGGGGGCUAGCGUUGCUCGGAAUCACUGGGCGUAAAGCGCACGUAGGCGGCUUUCUAAGUCAGGGGUGAAAUCCCUGGAGCUCAACUCCAGAACUGCCUUUUGAUACUGGAGAGCUCCGAGUCCGGGAAGAGGUGAGUGGGAACUGCGAGUGUAGAGGUGAAAUUCGUAGAUAUUCGCAAGAACACCAGUGGCGAAGGCGG